CAGGUCUUUCCCUGGGACAAAAUUAAUGCCUUCGUCUUCCCUUCAGCCACAGGUUGCCUCCAAUUCCCCCAGCCCCAGCCCACAGCAGCAUUUCUCAUAGCUGUAAUUGGUCAUGGACCUAUCUCUCCUCCCACACUGUGAGCAACUUCUACAAGCCACUCUUCAGCUCCUGGCUUUCCGUAUGAUAUUAAACAGGUGAUCUCUCCUCUUUGGGUUUCAGAGCUUCCAGAAAAGUAAGAAAAAUGAGGCUCAGACUUGGCAAGGCUCUCACCAAUGCCUGCUUUCUACAUCACAGUGCCUGGCAUACGGUGAUCAUAGAGAGUAGUGUUGCUGUUACUAUGGUUACCUGACCUUUGUCCAAAGGUGGAUCAUGUAAGUAUGAAUGUCUGCAGAGGUACAAAAUGACACAGAGCUGAGCCAGGACUGGGGACAAGGAAAAGUAACACUGUCAUGUGCCAGAGGGAGCUCUUGAGAAAUGCCUCUUAUUAAAUUACCUGAUGGCUCCAUCAUGUAGAGGCCUGAAUUAGGUGAAAGCUUACCUGCAACAAUGCCUCCUGAAAUAAAACACCCUCAUGUUCAUCUGUCCCAGGUAACACCUGUGAUUGCUCAUCCACCGUGGGGUGCCUGGGUAACUGGCUCAGAAAAAAAGUGAAACACCAUCGCGCAUUAUCCCCCACAAAGGAUUAGACAACCGAGGGAUUCCAAUGAUCUGACCUUCCCGUGUCCAUGAUGACCAGCUGGCUGUUGAUAACAGUGGUUACGUGACCCUGAGCUUGAUGAUUCAACUGGCAGAAACAGCAAACAGGAGAUUCUUCCACUUGCCAUCAACAAGGGGUAACCAAGAGUAACGCUGUACUUAGUUGAUCAUCUUCUCAGCCUACUGACCCAAAGGGACGGAACUGUUAAAGUUAAAUACAAAAUGGGGAGCGGACUUGAAAAUUCCCUGAGUGGAAGAAAACCUUUUAAGCCACACAAGCGAAACUUAAUUUCGAUGAUUCUGCAAAAUAACUGAAAGUGAACUUGGGCCACUUCUUGUAAUUGCCAGAUAAUCAUUAAAACAAAAACAAAAACAAAAAAACAAACAAAAAACCCCUUAUGUCCUCUUUAUAAAAAUGAUGUGAGAUAACUACUUUUAACUAAUCCCUUGCAACCUGGGAACUCUCAUGGUAAUAACCAGUCACUGGAAAUGUUAAAACAGCUUGCCCACUUUCACUGCAUUAACCACCCUGUACAUCAGGCCCCUGAGCGCCAUAUCAUCUUUGAAUUCAAAAGCUCUCAUUGGUGAACUGUUCUUAAUAUGCACAAUAAACUCUUA